AAACGUAAAUGAGAGUAUGAAUCAGUGUGAAGGUAUAGUAAUGAUUU
rnacentral:guide_RNA from 1 species